rnacentral:lncRNA from 1 species
GUUUAUUGGUCUAAUUCUUUAAUAUGCAUUUUUUUAACAUUGUAAUAUAUGAUAGAACUAAUUUUUGAUAGUAAUGUUAAUCUGGUACGGAGUGGGAGGCAAUGUUGCCAUCAGUUUCAACUUCUGAAUGUGAUAUCUUUGAUUUUGAAAGUGGACAUAUUUCUGUAGAAAGACUUUUUGCAUGCAGGCAUUUGUACAUCAAAAUACUGAAUCUGGGUUAUUUUUAAAUGACUGAAUGUAGUAAGGCACUAUUUUUUAGUACUGAUUUAAUGCUCAGUUUUGUUUUUAUUUCCAGUGCCUGGCUGUAUCUGA